rnacentral:rRNA from 1 species
UACAGAGGUCUCAAGCGUUGUUCGGAUUCAUUGGGCGUAAAGGGUGCGUAGGCGGCGCGGUAAGUCGGGUGUGAAAUCUCGGGGCUUAACUCCGAAACUGCAUUCGAUACUGCCGUGCUUGAGGACUGGAGAGGAGACUGGAAUUUACGGUGUAGCAGUGAAAUGCGUAGAGAUCGUAAGGAAGACCAGUGGCGAAGGCGAGUCUCUGGACAGUUACUGACACUGAGGCACGAAGGCCAGGGGAGCAAACGGG